GACGAACGCUGGCGGCGUGCCUAACACAUGCAAGUCGAACGGGGUGGAGCCCUUCGGGGAUUCACUUAGUGGCGAACGGGUGAGUAACGCGUGAGGAACCUGCCUUUCAGUGGGGGACAACAGUUGGAAACGACUGCUAAUACCGCAUAACAUAUUCGGACCGCAUGAUCUGAAUAUCAAAGCUUUAUGUGCUGAAAGAUGGCCUCGCGUCUGAUUAGCUAGUUGGUGGGGUAACGGCCCACCAAGGCGACGAUCAGUAGCCGGUCUGAGAGGAUGAACGGCCACAUUGGGACUGAGACACGGUCCAGACUCCUACGGGAGGCAGCAGUGAGGAAUAUUGGUCAAUGGUCUGACGACUGAACCAGCCAUGCCGCGUGAAGGUGACGGCCCUAUGGGUCUUAAACUUCUUUUGUAAGGGAGCAAUAAGGAUCACGUGUGGUCUGAUGAGAGUACCUUACGAAUAAGCAUCGGCUAACUCCGUGCCAGCAG
rnacentral:rRNA from 1 species